CCUACGGGAUGCAGCAGUGGGGGAUAUUGCACAAUGGGGGGAACCCUGAUGCAGCGACGCCGCGUGGGUGAAGAAGCGCCCCGGCGCGUAAAGCCCUGUCAGCAGGGAAGAAAAUGACGGUACCUGAAGCAGAAGCCCCGGCUAACUACGUGCCAGCAGCCGCGGUAAUACGGAGGGGGCAGGCGUUAUCCGGAUUUACUGGGUGUAAAGGGGGGGCAGGCGGCGAUGCAAGCCAGGAGGGAAAGCCCGGGGCUCAACCCCGGGACUGCUCUUGGAACUGCGUGGCUGGAGUGCAGGAGGGGCAGGCGGAAUGCGUGGUGUAGCGGUGAAAUGCGUAGAUAUCAGGAGGAACACCGGUGGCGAAGGCGGCCUGCUGGACUGCAACUGACGUUGAGGCCCGAAAGCGUGGGGAGCAAACAGGAUUAGAUACCCUUGUAGUC
rnacentral:rRNA from 1 species